GUGCACAAUUUUCUUAUGUUGCGCCAAUACACAUCAUACUUUGCAAAAACCAAAUUCUUUUGGCCAUAAGCCAAAUGUUGAGAUGCCUCAUGAUGAGGCCUACUAGCAAAGAUGUGAUCAUAUGUCUUGAGGACCUUCUCGGCUGCAUCAGCAGAUGAGGCAAUGAUUGUAGGUACUAGCCCUAGUCUCAUAUACAUAAUAGGACCAUGUUUUUGGGCUAGAUUUUGUAAAUCUUUGUGUGGAUUUUUGCCUAACAAAUGAAGAUGUCCUAAAAUGGGAAGCCCUGUUGGACCUGGAGGAUACCUUUUUCUCUUGUGAAUGUUUAGCAGCUCAUACAAGGCAUAUACAGAUAGACCAACCACUAGAAUUGUCCAUAUCAAAGUCAUUGAAUAAGAAGAGA
rnacentral:misc_RNA from 1 species